rnacentral:lncRNA from 1 species
GAAAAAAAAAAUCACAAAUCUACUCCAAUCACCGGUAUCUUCCAACUCAAUUUGGCAAAGGAGUUUGUGACUGGUGUACUCCAAGAUGCCCAGUUUUCAUAUUUUGUAGAAAACACAGAUGUGUAAUAUAUAAAUUAUAAAACGUUUCCCCAAUUUAUAACAAUGUUGUUCAGAAAUAAAAACCCUUUUUUCAUGUUUAACACAAAUCUAGCCCAGUAUAUGAGCACAAUGCAUUUUAGCAUGUCAUCCAGUGACAGUAAAAACUGGUUCCUUAUUUCAAAGUUUCCUUAUUUGAAAGUACAGAGAACAGAUGUGCACCAAAUGCACUCAGCUUUUCCGCUACACAACCUCAGAUACUAGAUAUGCUGUGGCAAUGUCUCAGACAGCCACAGAGAGACAGAGUAAGUGAGGUAACUGCAUGUGUGCUAAUGAACUAGAAGAUAACUACAGGAACUGACAGUUGGAGGAGUGUGAACCGUAUUUACGAACGCUCACACUUUCACACGCUAUACUACAAUGCACCAAGCAACAGACUACACUCUCCUGGGAGCACCAGGGACAUCACCACCUGCACUGCCCAUCAAACAGCGCAGGAGCAAGUCUUCUUCAAACUCCAUCAAGGAUCUAGAGCUGAAGGUGGGAGACUUACACUUGCCUGGACCUCAGACCCCAGCGUCUCCAUUUAGUGAAGUGUUCACUCCUACUGAUUGUAAUGCACUCCACUGUCCAAUACAUCAUCGCUAUGGUGAGCACUGACAGCAUGUUUCUAUACUUUAACACAAAAAGGUUGAUUUUGAUGAAAGUGAUAAGGACCGAACUAAAAUGAGAACUGGUUUCUGUAACUUUUCACAUGUUUAGCCUUCCUCAUUUCUGGUUAUGUUCUUUUACACUUUAUUUAUUGAAUACAAAAGUAUUAUUGAGGGAAGUAACACCUGAAACCAAUACAGUAAGCCGCUUACAGACAGCUAAACCACAUGUAGUCUGUGUUUCAACGGUAAUGUGGGAACUGAGACCGUUUCCACUGACUUUCAUUUCAUGGUUCCAUAACACAUGACAUUAAACAACAUUUGGGCAUGUGUAUUCUUUAUGUCUUCCCUUGCUAGAAGUAUUUUUUUUUACCUUUAUCUU